rnacentral:rRNA from 1 species
UACGUAGGUGGCAAGCGUUGUCCGGAAUUAUUGGGCGUAAAGCGCGCGCAGGUGGUUUCUUAAGUCUGGUGUGAAAGCCCACGGCUCAACCGUGGAGGGUCAUUGGAAACUGGGGAACUUGAGUGCAGAAGAGGAUAGUGGAAUUCCAAGUGUAGCGGUGAAAUGCGUAGAGAUUUGGAGGAACACCAGUGGCGAAGGCGACUAUCUGGUCUGUAACUGACACUGAGGCGCGAAAGCGUGGGGAGCAAACAGG